ncrna:unclassified sequences DTF805b RNA
AGGGAGUCUGCCGAAAAUCCUUAACAGAGUAGGCG